GCACUGCUUAGGAGUCCCACAACAGGACGAAACGGCCGUCCAGUGC
rnacentral:hammerhead_ribozyme from 1 species